UAUGUGAUCGUCUCUCGCAUAUCAAUAAGCGGAGGAAAAGAAACUAACAAGGAUUCCCCUAGUAACGGCGAGUGAAGCGGGAAGAGCUCAAAUUUGAAAUCUUAAAGGGUUUCCCUUUACGAAUUGUAGUUUAAAGAAGUGUUUUCUGUUGAGGUUUUGGUAAAAGUUCUUUGGAAUAGGACAUCAUAGAGGGUGAGAAUCCCGUAUUUGACCUUUACUUUCAACUUUGUGAUACACUUUCAAAGAGUCGGAUUGUUUGGGAAUGCAGUCCAAAAUGGGUGGUAAAUUUCAUCUAAAGCUAAAUAUUGGCGAGAGACCGAUAGCGAACAAGUACUGUGAGGGAAAGAUGAAAAGAACUUUGAAAAGAGAGUUAAACAGUACGUGAAAUUGUCAAAAGGGAAGCGUUUGACACCAGUGUUGUUUUUCUGAAAAUCAAUUAAAGAACUGUUUAUGCUAAGUUGUUUAGACUUUAUCAGCUAUCUGCUUAGUUUUGAGCUUUUCUUUAAUGCACUUUUCAGUUAACAAGUCAACAUCAAUUUCUUUUGCUGUAAAAAAGCUUGAGGAAGGUGGCUUGAGAUUCGUCUUAAGUGUUUAUAGCCUCUUGCCUAUGCAGUCGGAGAGAUUGAGGUCUGCAGCGUAGAUCCUUCGGGGCUAAAUGCAUUUGUGCUAAGUUAUAGCAUUUUAUAGACAACUUGUUGACUAUGAUUUGUCUUGUAGCUUACUCGCUUAUGUUAUUUUACCUACGCUUAGGAUGUUGAUCUACAGAGCGAGAGU
rnacentral:rRNA from 1 species